CUACGGGUCGCUGCAGUGAGGAAUAUUGCACAAUGGGGGGAACCCUGAUGCAGCAACGCCGCGCGGAGGAUGACGCAUUUCGGUGUGUAAACUCCUUUUAUAUGUCAAGAAAAUGACGGUAGCAUAUGAAUAAGCACCGGCUAACUCCGUGCCAGCAGCCGCGGUAAUGACGGAGGGUGCAAGCGUUACUCGGAAUCACUGGGCGUAAAGGACGCGUAGGCGGGUUGGAAAGUCAGGUGUGAAAUCCUACAGCUUAACUGUAGAACUGCACUUGAAACUUCUAAUCUAGAGUAUGGGAGGGGGAGAUGGAAUUAGUGGUGUAGGGGUAAAAUCCGUAGAUAUCACUAGGAAUACCUAAAGCGAAGGCGAUCUCCUGGAACAUUACUGACGCUAAGGCGUGAAAGCGUGGGGAGCAAACAGGAUUAGAUACCCCAGUAGUC
rnacentral:rRNA from 1 species